rnacentral:lncRNA from 1 species
UCUUAUUGAUUUAUAUUAUAAGUUCCAAAAGACUAUUUAUCUCUCGACGUUGUUAUCCUCGUCAGUCCUAACUGUUUAGACAAACAUUUUUAGCUGAACUUAUCGAUUUACCUUAGACACUGCCUUUUGCGUUUGCAUGUUGUUUAGCAAAAACGGAUAUUUACCUUAAUAGUGUGUUUUUCUUCAAUUUUUUUUUUUUUACUUUUUUCGUGUUUGAUUUGCUUGUUCACAACAGUACCAAUACUAUCACGUGUUAUGCUAUGUUAUUUCAUACUUAUUUUAUAAAUUAACCAAAUCUCGUACCACUAGCUACAACAUACUUGCAAGAUCUAAAUAUAGAUGCGCAUAUUAAGUUUCUC